rnacentral:telomerase_RNA from 15 species
UUAUACCCGCAUUUUCAUUCAGAUCUUUAAUGGAGCUGUCAUUCAACCCCAAAAAUCUAGUGCAACUACUGCCUUAACUACUUAGGCAAAAUAAGUCGUAAAGCGGGACAAGGCAUCGACAUUUGAUACAAAUAUUGAUCAAUGGAUAUCUUAUUUUUUAU